AAUCUAAUUUAAGUGCCAUUUUGAUAUUUUUGUCGAUUACAAAACACCGCAAUGGAUUGCGACAGAAAUUGUGGAUUGGUAUGUCUCAUGGGAAAUCGUACAGAAAAUGUCAAAAACGCGUUCUGUACGGCAGGCGAAUUCGAUAAUAACAAAAAAUAUACGAUGCCGAUCAAAAAAAUUUAAAUUUCGGGACAAAUAAGAAAUGCUUUGAGGCCUUCUGCAAGAGCUGAGGAAUCAUCUUAAAGUAACUUCCCUUCUUAAAGUAUCUUUUUAUUUAAAUUUUUGGUCUUUUUAAGUACAAUGUAAAUGAUGUAAAAGCAUCCGAGCCAACUUAUGACGAUGGUAAUUGGUAAAACAAAUUUGUACGAAUAAAUAUUUCCAGCUGGAAUUAGGACACUCAAUGUCGUUGGUUCAUU